GACGAACGCUGGCGGCGUGCUUAACACAUGCAAGUCGAGCGGUAAGGCCCUUCGGGUACACGAGCGGCGAACGGGUGAGUAACACGUGGGUAACCUGCCCUCAGCUCUGGGAUAAGCCCGGGAAACUGGGUCUAAUACCGGAUAUCACCUUGGGAGGCAUCUUCCGGGGUUGAAAGUUUUUGGCGGCUGAGGAUGGGCCCGCGGCCUAUCAGCUUGUUGGUGGGGUAGUGGCCUACCAAGGCGACGACGGGUAGCCGGCCUGAGAGGGCGACCGGCCACACUGGGACUGAGACACGGCCCAGACUCCUACGGGAGGCAGCAGUGGGGAAUAUUGCACAAUGGGGCGAAAGCCUGAUGCAGCGACGCCGCGUGAGGGAUGACGGCCU
rnacentral:rRNA from 1 species